UACAACCUACGGGGGGCAGCAGUGAGGAAUAUUGGUCAAUGGUCAGGAGACUGAACCAGCCACGCCGCGUGAGGGAUGAAGGUACAGAGUAUCGUAAACCUCUUUUGUCAGGGAACAAAGGCGGGGACGUGUCCCCGGAUGAGUGUACCUGAAGAAAAAGCAUCGGCUAACUCCGUGCCAGCAGCCGCGGUAAUACGGAGGAUGCGAGCGUUAUCCGGAUUUAUUGGGUUUAAAGGGUGCGCAGGCGGGCUGUUAAGU
rnacentral:rRNA from 1 species